rnacentral:rRNA from 1 species
UUCUGACCGUAAACGAUGCCAACUAGCGAUCCGCCGGUGGAUUUUUAGCCCUGGUGGGUAGCUUCCCGGAAACGAAAGUCUUCCGGUUCCGGGGGAAGUAUGGUUGCAAAGCUGAAACUUAAAGGAAUUGACGGAAGGGCACCACCAGGAGUGGAGCCUGCGGCUUAAUUUGACUCAACACGGGGAAACUCACCCGGCCCGGACACCGUAAGGAUUGACAGAUUGAUAGCUCUUUCAUGAUUCGGUGGUAGGUGGUGCAUGGCCGUUCUUAGUUCGUGGAUCGAUUUGUCUGGUUUAUUCCGAUAACGAGCGAGACUCUAGCCUACUAAAUAGUAACGAGAUUAUCAAUGUCUCAGUUGCUUCUUAGAGGGAUUUUCGGUGUUUAGCCGCACGAGAUUGAGCAAUAACAGGUCUGUGAUGCCCUUAGAUGUCCGGGGCUGCACGCGCGCUACACUGGCGAAAUCAGCGUGCUGUAUCCAUUCUCGAAAGGAUUGGUAAACCCAUGAAAAUUUGCCGUGCUUGGGAUCGGAAAUUGCAAUUAUUUCCGUGAACGAGGAAUUCCAAGUAAGUGCGAGUCAUCAACUCGCUCUG